UACAAAUACAUGGUUAAUACAAAAUAGAACAAUGGGAUUGAAAGGCCAAACAUCAGGUGGCUAGGAUCUUCCAAUCUGUAAAUUUCUUAUUCAGUUCUAUGUUGAACAGAAAAAAGUUGAUUUUUUUAUGUUUUCAGAGGAUUAUGUCUUUUUUUUUUUUUUUUUUUAAUGAGAGACUUUUUUAUACUGUCAAUGGCACAUAAUUCAUGCUUCCUUUUCAAUCUUUUGCAGUUUGUUAUUGCCUCUUAAACUGGAUGGGGGUUGCUCAUAUAUGGAGGCUUCAAGACUUUCUUUGGAGGCAACAAAGCCAGAAAGAAGACGUAAUUCUUUACACUGAUGACUGCGAGUCUAUGAUCUAUAUUUUUGAAUAGGUUAUGCUCUGAUAUCGGAUAUUAACAAUAUAGCCUCUCUGAUUGUAAGGAGUAGAUUUAGUUCAUCACUUCUAUUGGCUCAUCUAAUUAGUUGAACUCAUUAGACUUGCUGAAACAAUCUAAUAGACCUACACUUGGGUUGAGUUAGUUGGCCAUGCAUUUUUUAAAUUAUAUAUAAACUAGAGAAAACCUGUUUCAAUAUUUUAAACAGGGAGGACAUAACUUGAUUAGAUGGUGUUGUGUUGACUUGAUUAGAUGGUGCUGUGUUGCAAGUUGAGAAUGUAAGGUUGUGGUUUUGAUAAUAGCUUAGGGUGUUUUUUUGGAGUUUAGAUUUGCAUUGACUGCAGUAGUGACCAUUGGGAGAACUUACCAAUGCUCAAUUUAGCUACUUGUUGCAUGGAGCUCUCUUGCCAUUUCAAGCUGGUGUACUCUCUCCAUUUAAGUCAAUGCAGCAAGCAUUUAGAAGUUUUGGUAUUGAAUUUCCUCGGCUAACAUAGAACUACAGCGUCAGUACGGACAUUGAAAAUCAGGAUGACCAUGGCAUCUGCUCCUGUUUUUAGAUGCAGUGCGUGUGCAGAGAAGCGGAAGGAGUUUUACUCAAAGUUAGAGGAGAAACACCAAGCUUUGGAGGCAGAGAAAAACUAGUGUGAAGCCAAGACCAAGGGUGUUAGCGGAUGGGCAUAUCCCAUGGGCAUGUGAGUCAUUCUCAAGGCUACACGGACGGGACCUUGUCCGAGCGCUGGCUCUGAUUUGGCAAAGGUCUCUGCUUCCUGCUUUUGAAUCUGCAGAAAUGCGCACCUUAGCAGAGAGUUUAAGAAUAUCAUUCGUGGGAAUCCAGAUGUGAAGUGGGAAAGCAUCAAGGGGUUAGAGAAUGCAAAAUUCCUUCUCAAGGAAGCAGUUGUGAUGCCAAUAAAGUAUCCUAAGUAGGUCUCAUUAAGUCUAGUAAUGCCUCAUGGAUAGUUCUAUUAAAAUUGUUGAGAAUUAUUUGAGAAAUUUUCUUUUAGAUGAAUAAUUUGUUAGCUUUUGAAGCUCAUUACGUUAAGUAUGAGCUUUGUAUUGCAUAUUGCGCCACUUUUUAUCCAUUCAUUUCUUAUAUGUCCAUUUGGUGAACUUCUCUAAUUACACCAAUCUACUUCUUAGUGCUGCA